rnacentral:tRNA from 1 species
GCGACUGUGGUAUAGCGGUAUUACCUCAGCCUUCCAAGCUGAAGAUGCGGGUCCGACUCCCGUCGGUCGCU